GCUCAGUUGGUUAAGUGUCUAACUCUUGGUUUUGGCUCAGUUCACAAUCUCACAGUUUGUGGGUUCGAGCCCCACAUUGGGCU
rnacentral:tRNA from 1 species